UUUGCCAGCCUGGGGUUGGACUAGGACACAGCCCAACUUUUCAAGAUUGACCAUGGAGAUGACUGAGACAGCCUGAAUAUUGAUGGGAACACGAUGGAAUUAACACGACUUAAACUUUGUCUGGGAUUGCACUUCUACAGCCAGGUUGUUGAA